UUACCUCAGUAAUCCCUAAAUACCAUUCUUAUCAGAUAGUCCUUAUCCUAAUCCCUGAACUACAAUGCAUGAUUGUGUGCGACUCUCUUAACCUCAAAUAAAUUGGUCUGGACUCCCCUAGAAACAGCUCACAAACCCAUGCUGCAAAAAACAUACCAUUCUGCUGAUGAACCACCGGCGUUCCCAGCGAUGUGGGAGGAGAAAACCCUUGUUAUCUCUGCGACGGAGCAGCCACCCCUGGUGGUCACCCUGGCCUAGCUCUCUGCACGAGAUGCGGCGACUUCCUGCAGUAAGCAUAAGAAUCAGCAACUUGGGCUUUUGAUGGAAAAUGGCUGAUACCUAGGUCUAUCCUCAACUUUUCAUGAGAGCGACAUUAGUAUUCUGCAUGCAUUCCUGGCUCUUACCCUGAUCUGCCACUAAGAUUCCUCGACGCCAGACCGAGGGUGAACUACUCCGUGUCUCCCUAAGCACAACGGCUGGGGGCUCAGGGUUAGCCAAGGC